GUUUCUGUCUUCCUCCAUUCUCUUACACCUUGACUGAUUAUAUCUUUUAAGUUGUUUCUUUUUACUGUUAUGUGUGCAUAGUUUAUGCACAUCCAGUAUUGCCAAAAUUUUAUACUUUCAGCAUGUCCUAUUAUUUGCUUGUAAUCUCAACUUUACUGUUGGUCAGAGGUGGUGUCCUAGGAUUUGGUUCAGAUGUUGUAAAAGAAAUCCCAAAUUAGUUUUUAAUAGAUGGCUUAUUUUUCUCUGGCUUACCAGACUCUGGUUGUUUAUCUCUGGACAGUUUUCAAAUUGCUGCAGUGUAGGGGACCCAGGCAUCCCUUGUGUGGUAGUGUUCUGCCAUUUCUAGGCUCUUGACUAAGAUAGAACUGGAAGGGGAGGCAAUGAACCUUCCCUAGAAGCCAGGACCCAGAAGGGAUACCUCACCUCUCUUCACAUGUCAUUGACUAGAGCUUAGUUACAUGCCCAUACAAGCAUUAAGAUGUUGAAAAAUCUAUGUGAGCAUGUGUCCAGCUAAAUGUUCUUAAAGGAAGGGUAGAAUGGAUAUUCCCUAAUCACAGGUGUUGUCUCAAGAUACUUACAGCUUCUGGGUUUUUUAAAAUAACUUUUAUGUAAUAAAAGUUAUAUCUUUUAUUAUAUAAAACUGUGGCUACCAGUUACACUUUUGAAGUUAUACUCAGGGUAGUGGUGUGCAUUGUUCUUCAUGAAGAAAGGAACUGCCAGUUUCUUUAUAAAAAUGUCAGCUGUCAGCCAGGCAUGGUGGCUCACGCCUGUAAUCCCAGCAUCCGCUGAGGCGGGUGGAUCACGAGGUCAAGAGAUUGAGACCAUCCUGGUCAAUGUGGUGAAACCCCGUCUCUACUAAAAAUACAAAAAUUAGCUGGGCAUGGUGGCACAUGCCUGUAGUCCCAACUACUUGGGAGGCUGAGGCAGGAGAAUUGCUUGAACCCAGGAGGCGGAGGUUGUGGUGAGCCGAGAUCGCACCAUUGCACUCCAGCCUGAGUAACAAGAGUGAAACUCCAUCUAAAAAAAAAUGACAGCUGUCUUUUUAAAAGUUGUUACUACCUGUAGUAGGUAAUUGAUUCAGGCAGAGAAGGACUUUGCAGCUUUAUUUCUUCCUGUUAGCUGUGGAUUAGAUUCUCCACGCAGUGUUGCAUAUUGCCUAUUACAGUUUCUGGUUCUUGAUAGUACAGAUGCUGUUGGCUUUAAUUUAGGAAUUUCUCUAAUCUUCCUUCAAAUAAUUCAAUACUCUGAAUAUUUAACAUGUGUUACAUUUUUUAUAGUUUAAGACAAUUUGAGAUUGUGUUAUUAUGCUUAAAAGGGAGUUGUAAAGAGCUAAAAGAUUCUUUGUAAGACUUUCCUCUCCUGCAUCUGAUUUAAAUUGUGUUUUAUAAAAGUCAUUUAAAUAAUUUUUUUCUUUUUGAGCUGGAGUUUUGCUCUGUAGUCCAGGCUGGAGUACAGCGGCACGAUUUCUGCUCACUGCAGCCUCCACCUCCUGAGUCCCAGUUCAAGCAAUUCUCCCACCUCAGCCUCCCGAGUAGCUGAGAUUGAAGGCACAUGCCAGCAUGCCCAGCUACAUUUUGUAUUUUUAGGAGAGACAGGGUUUCACCACAUCAGCCAGGCUGGUCUUGAACUCUUGACCUAGUGAUCUGCCUGCCUCAGCCUCUCAAAGUGCUGAGAUAACAGGUGUGAGCCACUACGCCCUGCCUCUUUGAUGAAAUUUUUAAAAAUACAAAUCGAGAUUGUUUUGUUUUGUUCUUUCCCCUUUUGAAUUUCCCCUAAAGUACUGUGCACACAUCCACGCGCAGUUAUUUGUGCAGUACUUCUUCAGCGUUCAUUUAGUUGUACUUCAUGCUGAUUGAAUUACUGGUGUUAUCCUUCGGUGGGUAAGGCUGGAUGAAUUCUAAUCAGCUUACUUGUUUUGUCUUCAUGUAGCAAAAAGUUUUUAAAAUGUAUAAAUAAAUUUGCUCUUAUUGUUUAUGAAGUAUCUAUGGCUUAAAAAAUUCCUUUCUUCCCCCUUUUAUGAGCAGCCCAGUGGGGGAUAACAUCAUGUUGUUACUUCCUCUUAGCUUUUCAGUAAGGAAUGCUUCCUUUCCUCUGGUGGUUUUUUUUUUUUUUUUUUUUUUCUCUGAGAUGGAGUAUCACUCUAUCACCCAGGCUGAGUACAGUAGUGCAGUCUUGACUCACUGCCACCUCCAUCUCCUGGACUCAAGCAGUUCUUCUUCCUCAGCCUUCCCAGGGUAGCUGGGAUUCCAGACGUGUGCCACCAGGCCUGGCUAAUUUUUUGUAUUUUUAGUAGAGACAGGGUUUUACCAUGGUGGCCAGUCUGAUCUCCUGACCUCAAGUGAUCUGCCCACCUCAGCCUCUCAAAGUGCUGGGAUUACAGGCAUGAGCCACCGUGCCUAGCCUUUUCUUCUGGUUUAUAGUUGUGAUUCAGCAAUCCAAUCUUUUAACCACAACCUUGGUGGUGGUAUAAAAACCAAUUUUUAUCCAUUGUUUUUAUGGAAGCUUUAUUAUCUCUCAUGGAGAAAUGCCCCUUCAGUUUAUCACUGAAAUAUUUUUUUCCUUAGCUUUAAUGGAAUGUCACUUUUGAGGUUUUUCUUGCUUAUCAUGCCUCAGAGCACUUAAUACAAAAGAAUAAUAUAUUUAAGAUUACCAGUAUUGAAGUAUGCUAAAAUGGUUCUGAAUAUUUAGAAUGUUAUUUUUACAAACUUUUUGCUUAUUUUGUUAUAAGUAUUUUGCUUAUUAAUUUGUAUAGCAAACAUAAUCCACCCUUUUUUGUGGAGACAGAAUCUUGCUCUGUCACCCAGGCUGGAGUGCUGUGGUAUGAUCUUGGCUCACUGCAGCCUUUACCUCCUGGACUCAGGAGGUGAUCCUUCCACCUCAGCCUCUAGAGUAGCUGGGACCACAGGCAUGUGCCACCAUGCCCAGCUAAUUUUUCUAUUUUUUGUAGAGACAGAGUUUCACCAUGUUAGACAGGCUGUUUCAAACUCUGGGCUCAAGCCAUCUGUCUGCCUUGGCCUCCCAAAGUGCUGGGACUAUGGGUGAGAGCCACUACGCCUAGUCAAAAUUUUUUUUUUAACACAGAAAAAAAAGUUUAGGAGUCUGGUUUAUUUGCUGUAUCUGCUUUUCUUCUCUUUUUUUUUUUCUUUCUUUUUUUUUUGAGAUGGAAUUUCAUACUUGUUGCCCAGGCUGGAGUGCAAUGGCACGAUCUCUGUUCACUGCAACUUCUGCCUCCCUGGUUCAAACAGUUCUCCUGCCUCAGCCUCCUGAGUAGCUGGGAUUACAGAUGCCCACCACCACACCCCAUUAACUUUAAAAAUAUUUUUAUUAGAGAUGGGGUUUCACAAUGUUGGCCAGGCUGGAUUUGAACUCCUGACCUCAUGUGAUCCACCUGCCUUGGCCUCCGAGAAUGCUAGGAUUACAAUCGUGAGCCACUUUUUUGUCACCCAGGCCGAAGUGCAGUGGCACAAUCUUGGCUUACUGCAACCUCUGCCUUCUGGGUUCAAGCAAUUCUCCUGCCUCAGCCUCUCAAGUAGCUGGCAUUACAGGCACCCGCCACCAUGACUGGCCAAGUUUAUGUAUUUAGUAGAGAUGGUUUAACCAUGUUGGUCAGGCUAGUCUCUGACUCCUGACCUCAAGUGAUCCACCUGCCUCAGCCUCCCAAAACGCUGGGAUUAUAGUCAUGAGCCACUGUGCCUGGCCCUGUAUCUGCUUUUCAAACCAGAAUAAAAUUAACAAGAUUAAAGACAAGCCUGAUGAUGCAAUCAGAGUGAUGCUGUUAUCAUUUAGCUAGGUUGCUAAAUGGUAAGGGUGAUUUUUGAUUUUCCAUGGAAAGUUGAUUGCUGUAUGCUAUUUUUACAUGCACACACACAAUCACUUUCAUUGAGUGAAGUUAGUAUGUGACAUACCACUGUUGUGCGGUUCACAUACACAAUUCACUCAUGAGCAUGUGGAAUUAUUGUACUGUUGUGGAAUGAUGUAAAAAGCUCAGUCAGUGUUCCUUUUUCUCUUUCCCUGUUUCUUCCACUCUCUGCCAUGUGUGUAUAUUAGCCAUAUACAGAUAUUACUUAUUUUCAUUUUUAGUUAGAGGGAUGUGUCUCCAGUAUCCCUCCACCCUUAAUAAAUCCUAUAUUAGUCUUGUAAUUGAAAUAAAAGUCAAGAAAAAGUUCUUAAUGGACUUCUUCCCUUUAUAUUGCUUAUUAGUAUUAAAAUGGUAACACAUCAUCAAAAGCUUUAAAUUUAAUAGUGUUACUAAAUCACCUUGUUCAACAGCAUAACCAAAUGUUCCUUUAAUAUUGACCUUUUAAUAUAAGCUGCUCAGUGAUAUACCAUUAUGCUUCAAGGAGUUUUGAGAUGAGUUACCUAUUAUCCUAGACCCAUCAGUUAUCCUAUUUGUUUAUCAUAUUCUUUAUUAGGUAGUUAAGCUAUAUAUUUGUUUUCUUACAAAUGUGUUAGACUUAAACUGAGCAGCACAUCAUUACAUAACAAUUAAUAUCGAGGUGCUGUCCGAAUGAUCGGGAUAGGAGCGGUCCCCACGCUUGCUGCUAUACAACCAUGUUUGAAAUUAAGAAGAUCUGUUGCAUUGGUGCAGGCUAUGUUGGAGGACCCACAUGUAGUGUCAUUGCUCAUAUGUGUCCUGAAAUCAGGGUAAUGGUUGUUGAUGUCAAUGAAUCAAGAAUCCAUGCAUGGAAUUCUCCUACACUUCCUAUUUAUGAGCCAGGACUAAAAGAAGUAGUAGAAUCCUGUCGAGGAAAAAAUCUAUUUUUUUCUACCAAUAUUGAUGAUGCCAUCAAAGAAGCUGAUCUUGUAUUUAUUUCUGUGAAUACUCCAACAAAAACCUAUGGAAUGGGUAAAGGCCGGGCAGCAGAUCUGAAGUAUAUUGAAGCUUGUGCUAGACGCAUUGUGCAAAACUCAAAUGGGUACAAAAUUGUCACUGAGAAAAGCACGGUUCCAGUGCAGGCAGCAGAAAGUAUUCGUCGCAUAUUUGAUGCAAACACAAAACCCAACUUGAAUUUACAGGUGCUGUCCAACCCUGAGUUUCUGGCAGAGGGAACGGCCAUCAGGGACCUAAAGAACCCAGAAAGAGUACUAAUUGGAGGGGAUGAAACUCCAGAGGGCCAGAGAGCUGUGCAGGCCCUUUGUGCUGUAUAUGAGCACUGGGUUCCCAGAGAAAAGAUCCUCACCACUAAUACUUGGUCUUCAGAGCUUUCCAAACUGGCAGCAAAUGCUUUUCUCGCCCAGAGAAUAAGCAGCAUCAACUCCAUAAGUGCUCUGUGUGAAGCCACAGGAGCUGAUGUAGAAGAGGUAGCAACAGCCAUUGGAAUGGACCAGAGAAUUGGAAACAAGUUUCUAAAAGCCAGUGUUGGGUUUGGUGGGAGCUGCUUCCAAAAGGAUGUUCUGAAUUUGGUUUAUCUCUGUGAGGCUCUCAAUUUGCCAGAAGUUGCUCGUUAUUGGUAGCAGGUCAUAGACAUGAAUGACUACCAGAGGAGGAGGUUUGCUUCCCGGAUCAUAGAUAGUCUGUUUAAUACAGUAACUGGUAAGAAGAUAGCUAUUUUGGGGUUUGCAUUCAAAAAGGACACUGGUGAUACAAGAGAAUCUUCAAGUAUAUAUAUUAGCAAAUAUUUGAUGGAUGAAGGUGCACACCUCCAUAUAUACAAUCCAAAAGUACCUAGGGAACAAAUAGUUGUGGAUCUUUCUCAUCCAGGUGUUUCAGAGGAUGACCAAGUGUCCCGGCUUGUGACUAUUUCCAAGGAUCCAUAUGAAGCAUGUGAUGGUGCCCAUGCUGUUGUUAUUUGCACUGAGUGGGACAUGUUUAAGGAAUUGGAUUAUGAACGUAUUCAUAAAAAAAUGCUGAAGCCAGCCUUUAUCUUUGAUGGACGGCGUGCCCUGGAUGGGCUCCACAAUGAACUACAGACCAUUGGCUUCCAGACUGAAACAAUUGGCAAAAAGGUGUCUUCCAAGAGAAUUCCAUAUGCUCCUUCUGGUGAAAUUCCAAAGUUUAGUCUUCAGGAUCCACCUAACAAGAAACCUAAAGUGUAGACAUUGCCAUUUUUAUUUGUGAUUUUUUUGGUACUUCAGGAUAGCAAAUAUCUAUCUAAUAUUAAAUGGUAAAUGAACCAAGUGUUUUUAAGGAAACAAAAUUAUUUUUUAAUCAUCAGAUUUAUACUAGCUAUAUCGGUAUUCGCAUAUCUGGUAACUGAAUCUAGAAUUUUUUUAUAAUACUGUUAGCUCAGUUAUUGGAUGAGUGAAAGAUAAUCAUGUUGGUUUCAAUAGUGUCAAUUUUUGUAAUAAAAAUUAAACUUCAAACACUUUACUUAUAAAUUGUCCAUAGGCAGCACUUCAAUAUCACAUUAUAAGGGAAGGACAGUCUUCAUUUUUUCUGGUUAUUGGUUUGCUUGUCAUUAAAUAUGUACUUUGAAUCCAUGAAAAUGCUAAGCUAAAUAGCCUUUACAUGUAUGGUCUGGUUAAAGUUCCUUUGAUCCUUUUGUUUUAAUGAAAUGUGUCACUGAUUUUUUAGCUCAAAAGAUACAUCGCUGUUAAUUACAAUCACCCCAAAUAUGGUUAAAAGGUGGGAUUUUUGUUUUGUUUUUUUGAGGUGGAGUCUUCGCUCUGUUGCCCAGGCUGCAGUGCAAUGGCACCAUCUCGGCUCAAUACACCCUCUACCUCCUGGGUUCAAGGAAUUCUCCUGCCUCAGUCUCCUGAGUGACUGGGACUGCAGGCACCCGCCACCAUGCCCUGCCAAUUUUUGUAUUUUUAGUAGAGACAGGGUUUCAUAUUGGCCAGGCUGAUCUCAAACUCCUGACCUAUGAUCCACAUGCCUCAGCCUCCCAAAGUGCUGGGAUUGCAGGCAUGACCCACCAUGCCUUGCCAAAAGGUGUUUUUUUUUUAAUCAUGAAGAGAAAAUUAGUAGUAUUCUUUCUCUCCCCAUUAUUUCUUGGUUUUCCUCACUAAUCUUUUUUUUAGUCUAAGAGCCAAAAAGAUAAAUAUUUUUUAGAUGUCCUCUUGCUUUGUCGCCCACGCUGGAGUGCAGCAGCACGAUCUCAGCUCACUGCAACAUCCAACUCCCUGGUUCAAGCAAUUAUCCUGCCUCUACCUUCUGAACAGCUGGGAUUACAGGCUCCCACCACCAUGCCUGGCUAAUUUUUGUAUUUUUAAUAGAGACGGGGUUUUACUAUGUUGGUCAGGCUGGUCUCAAACUCCUGACCUCAUGAUCUGCCCACCUCAGCCUCCCCAAAGUCCUGGGGUUACAGGCAUGAGCCACCGCACUUGGCUGGGCCAAAAAUAUUUAUCUUGGUUCUGCAUUUUAUUUUCUAUUCUUAAUUGUAAUUUUUCCUUUUUUCUUUAAAUAAGGAAACCAAUAUAAUCUCAUGUAUAAACUUAAAUAUUUUACAAGUUACAUAUGACAUU